AGUAUUUUUAAAAUUUAAUAAGUAAUAUUUUGUAUAUUUUGUAAUGAAAAAAAAAAUCUAAUAUGAAGGCUUUUUAUCAACAGAUGUGGAUUAAAGAGUAAAAAAUACUUUAAAGCUUUAGUUUUUAUCCUGAACUAAAGCUUGGAUGUCUUUGUUGAGCUUUGUCCUUCUGAUCCCGAUCCUAGAUUCUAUCCUGAACUGUGAGUUGAUUUUUUUUUUUUAAUGAUGUCGUGUGUUGAAAUUAUCUCUAUUUUUAUGAUGUGAUGUGUUGAUAUUAUCUCCUGGAAUCAAAUAGCUGCAGUGGCUUUAAAGUUCAAGUUAAUGGAUAUGACGCUACCCUCAAUAACGCUCUUAUCGAGAGCAGGUUGAGAGAAUGUUUAUCUUCAUGUGGAGAGAUCACGCGUGUUGCUGUUGGCGUAUGCUCUGCUUCCGUGUUUAUCUUGGGAGAAGACGUAGAAGAGAAGGCGAAGGCCGCGUUGAACCUAUGUAGACACCGAUUUAAAAUGGUACCUAAAAUUAUGGAAGACCCUUGUCGCCAUUACCGUAUUUUUUAUGCCUAAAUACUAAGAUGACUGCCGAUUGAAACCUCACCAAGAAGCUCUUGUUUGGUGUUACAAAGCUCUCGAUGAACCUCUUUGGUGUUUUUAACUUGUGAUACAUACAACAACCAAACCGUUUUUUUUCUUUUGUUUUUCGACUGGAUUUUAGAAACGAUCUCAAUAAUCAUUAUCUGCCUUCUGUAUUACUAUUACCCACGAAUGAUAAUUAAGUUAUAAACAGUUCCUCACUUUUACAGUCUAAUUAUGUAAGAAUGUAGUCCCUCUUGAUACAAAUGUUUGAUGCUUUAACUAUUUCACACAUAUUAAUUUAUUUUUCACUUUUUGAUUUUACCAAUAAAAGUUUAUGUACUAUUCAUAUUUUUAUAUUUUAUUUGAUGUUUUAGUUUUUAAAACAGGUGUAUCAAACAUCAAUCUUUCAAAUCCCCUUCUUAUUAUAUGAGGAAAACUUUUAUAAAUAAACAUUUGUCUCAUGUGUGAUUCACAACUUUGUCAUUUUCUAGAUGUCAACGCCAUAUUCCACCUCACAACCUUUUUUAAAUAAACCUCUUUGGCCUAGAUUAAUUACAUUUCAUGAACGUGUUCACUAAAUUUAGAAUAUUGAAACUUUUGAUACAUCCAUGUCACAAUACUAUUGUAUAAAAUGUAAACUCUAUGGAUAAUAUAAUUUCUAUGUCAUGUUAAGU